GCCGGUUUAGCUCAGCUGGUAGAGCAGCGGUUUUGUAAACCGAAGGUCGCGGGUUCGAUCCCUGCAACCGGCACCA
rnacentral:tRNA from 26 species